rnacentral:lncRNA from 1 species
AUUUGCAUUUAGUUAAUGUUUAGAUGAUAUCAGACAUCUUUUAUUUUGUUUAUUGGCCAUUUGUCUGUCUUUGGAAAACAGUUUAUUUUGGUCUGUUAUCCACUUUGCAGGUUGGUUGUUACUAUUGAACUGUAAGAGUUCUUUAUGAAUUCUGAAUACUAGACUCAUGUUAGUAUAUGUCUUAGAAGUAUUUUUUUCUUAAAAUUACAGGUUAGCAAGGAAACAGAUGUAGUGUAGUGAAAGCUAAGCAUGUCUUUAGGCGUGAUGGGUACAAGCAGUGGGAUAUACAGUGAGAUGGGAAUUGUCAGUAAAGGAUUGCUUAAUUAUUUUUUCUGUGAAUUAGUAAAAUGAUGAGCUACUUUAUAACAUUUUAUAACAUACAGGUACAUAUUGCUAUCUUAAUCUGCUAAAUUCCUUCCUUUUUUUUAACCAGUGAUUUAUUUAUUUUUAUUUUAUGUGCAUUGGUGGUUUGCUUGCAUGUGUGUCUGUAUGAGAGUAUUGGAUUUUCUGGAACUGGAGUUACAGGGAGUUGUGAGCUGCCAUGGAAGUUCUAGAAAUGUCCCACUGUCCUUUGGAAGAUCAGCCCAUGCCCUUAACUGCUAAUCUCUCCACCCCUGACUUUCUGCCUUUUAAACGUUAAAACACCAUAGACAAUAAUGGUAUGCCAUGUUACUCAAUCACAUUACUCAAAAUUGUUUUAUUCUUGAAUUUUGGAUAGAAAACUGUUGUCAUAAAAUUUUGUCUUAACUAUAUUCUAUUUUUGUUUGAAUAGUGAGAAAAUUCUAUAUUACUUUUUUCUUCUUUUCUUUCCUCUUCUUCUUCUUCUUCUUCUCUUCUCUUCUCUUCUCUUCUCUUCUCUUCUCUUCUCUUCUCUUCUCUUCUUUUCUUUUUUAAAUAGGGUUUCACUGUGAGCUCUGGUUGGCCUGGAUCUCAUAGAGCUCAAACUUCUGCCUACUUCCCUAAUACAAGGAUUAAAGAUUUGUACUACUAGGCCUGGCUCAUGCUUUAAAAUUUUAAGAUUUUUUUUUUUAAUUUUUAUUUUAUGAAACCAGAAACCUGACUAUUUAAUUAGCUUAUGGGAAAUUAUGAAUAUUUUUCCCCCGCUAAACUGUUCUUAAAGGAUUUUAAAUUUUGUUAUAGCUUAGUUUCUCUGAUUAGAAAGAAAUUUAUUUACUUUCAUUGUAUGGGUAUAGGUGUUUUACCUGCAUAUAUGACUGCAUCAUGUAUGUACAGUGCCCAUGAAAAGGAGAAGAGGGUGUCAAGAGGGUACUUGGAAUCGCAGCCAGUGUUCUCAACCACUGAGCUAUCUCUUCAGCGCCUCGUUUCUCUCAUGUUUUAAUUAGGUAGGUUUGCUGUGCUACGAAGUGCCAGGGGAAAUGAUGUUCUGUUGUGCUACACAUACAUAGUGAGACCUUGACUCAUGUAUAUAACACAGCAGUUUUUGAGCUCCUAGCAGUCUUCCUGUCUUACCCCAUGAAGUGCUGGGAUUUUAGUAGGGACCAUCAGCCCACAUGUUCAGCUCAUUGUGAGUCCUUAAAGGUAGGAUGGAGCAUUGGAUGAGGUAUGCAGCAGAGUUAACAAUCCAGAUGCUACGAAGUGCCAGGGGAAAUGAUGUUCUGUUGUGCUACACAUACAUAGUGAGACCUUGACUCAUGUAUAUAACACAGCAGUUUUUGAGCUCCUAGCAGUCUUCCUGUCUUACCCCAUGAAGUGCUGGGAUUUUAGUAGGGACCAUCAGCCCACAUGUUCAGCUCAUUGUGAGUCCUUAAAGGUAGGAUGGAGCAUUGGAUGAGGUAUGCAGCAGAGUUAACAAUCCAGAGCCUUUGCUUAAUGGAUUGUGAGAAACAAGUUAGAAAAGCUAAACAGUAGUCAUUGACAGCUAGCUUCUAAUGAUUUUUGUCUUGUUUUUAUUUUGUUUUACAUUUUAUCUAUUUUGUUGAAGAGUUACUUGAGUAGAUUAAUCAUUUUUUCUGAAAUAGAAGCCAGCAAAAUUACAGGCAUAAAAUUAGUAUUAUUUUUACGUACUUCUUAUGAAUUUGUGUAUGAAAUCAUUGUAAAAUUCUUAAAAUUCAGAGUAACACAAAGAGCCAUUUUUGUGUAAUGUGCAUUUUUUAAUUGUAGGAGCAGAUAGGUCAAAGGGAUUGUUAAAAGGAAUGGAUAUAACCAGUGUGCUUAGAUUGACAUUUAAAAAAAAAGAUUUAUUUUUUAUUAUAUGUAAGUACACCAUAGCUAACUUCAGACACACCAGAAGAGGGGAUCAGAUCUCAUUACGGGGUCGUUGUGAGCCACCAUGUGGUUGCUGGGAUUUGAACUCAGCACCUUCGUAAGAGCAGUCAGUGCUUUUACCCGGUGAGCCAUCUUGCCAGCCCCUAGAUUGACAUUUUAAAUUUUGGUGAUGGUAAACCAGAAAUUAAUAGUGCAAUUGUCUUUAAUCCCAGCACUUGGGAGGCAGAGGCAGGCGGAUUUCUAUUUCGAGGCCAGCCUGGUCUACAGAGUGAGUUCCAGGACAGCCAGGUCUGGGCUAUACAGAGAAACUCUGUCUUGAAAAACCAAAAAACCAAAACCAAACCAAAACAAAAACCCUAAAAAAUUACCUGUUACCUGCUUGGAACAAUGUUUUGUUCGGUGGUGUGGUUAAGAGUUAAGAGUUGCUCUUCAGAGAGCCUGGGCUUGGUUCCCAGUGCCCACAUGGUGGCUCACAACCACUUGUAACUUUGUUCCAGGGAAAUCUGAUGACCUCUUCUGAUUUCUGAGAUUGCCAGGUCAUGAGGCCAGGCAUUCUCAUAUGCAUAAAAGUAAAUAAAUUAUCCUUUUAAAAAUGAUUAGUUAGGAGGCUGGAGAGAUAGCUCAGGGGUUAACUGGCAAGGUGUGGUGGUGCACAUCUUUAAUCUCAGCACUCUGGGGGCAGAGAUAGGCAGCAUGAGUUGAGGCCAGCCUAGUCUACAUAGUGAGAUUCUGCCUCAAACC